GGGUUGUUCUUACCAGAUCGAAUGGCUUUCGAUGUAUAAAACUGGCGCAGCUAUUGAAAGGGACACACUCAGCCAACCUGUCUCAAGAGGGAAUCAGUCAAAAUAUGUACUGAUUGAAACUUCCAAAACCCUUUCCAUAUCCAGUAGAAAUAUCUGCAAAACGCAGAGUCGACUGUACGUUUCCGACUAUAUCAUGAACACGUGUUUAUGAAUCACUAUCAAAUAGUAAUGAUAUCAGGUGAUCAGAUGAGCAAAUCCUGACCCACCGGUGGCACCCGUCACAAACACAUGCAAGGCAAUUGCUCAUCUGAAAAAACACGGGAACGUAUGGUACAAGUCAAAAA